GUCCUGGUGUUCGCUGACCCGGGAAAUCUGAAGAGGAGUUUCGCUCUCACAAAACAGGCCGUUACCGUGCUACCACGGGUCUUUUUGCAAACACGAGCGGCACAAUGCAAACUUCCGGAAAGCGAGGGAUACUCGCCCCUGGUUAUCCCGCGUGUGCUGAAAUCUGAACGUUUUAGUUGGCGACGUAGCUUUCUUUUUGUCUUUGGACAAGAUUUAGGGUAAGAAAGUGGAAACAAACUAAUGACGAUAAAUACCUGGUGCUCACCGAGAGUCGUGCACGAGCACCCUGGUGCUCACCGCUCACUUGGAGCAACCGAAACCCGGGCGGGACACAGGCUGCGCGCACGCCAGCGAGAAAGACACACACACAAACCGAUGGUCCGCUUACCUUGCUCAAGGAGUCUGCACAAAAAAUAUCUAGUGCUUGAAACACAGGGACGUGUAAAACUACGAGGCCAGGAAAUGAAGUCUAGCGAAGGAGAUCCAAGAUUAAGAAAAUGAGAGCUUCUGCUCUACUCUGACACCAAGGGCUUCUCAAUGCGGGGGCCACCUGCUGUCCCAGGGAGGGUUCUAAGACAUCUGAAGACCAUCUCAGGAUACCAGAAUGGGCCCUGCCCAAGCCUUAAUCUUAACAUUUCAAACUGUCUUCAUAUAUGGCACUAAAAACCAACCUCUGGUAUCUGGAACAAACCAUCUGACCUAUCAGUUCUGGUCACCACUACAGAACUGGACAUAGAAACGAGUACUGAGCUUGUAUUCUGAGAGCAAAGUAAAGGCCAAAAGGAAACUGGAGAAGUGCCCUGGAAAAAAUUUGGCAUUUGCUAUCCUGUCUUUGUAUUUUGUUUAUGUAUUUUUUAUCAUAUGACUUACUGCAACAGUCAGUUUCACAACACAGGAGCUGAGGAGGAGGGUACAGGGACAAAUGCAACAGGCAUUUCGUGGGUCUUCUAGAAUUACCGCAGCCUUAAGGAUUUUUACAGGUCUGCUUAGGAUUUUCGGAGUCUGAUCCCAUCUAAAACGUGCCACUUACCGAAGUUAAACAAAAUGCUCAGAUCCUAAGAAAAAAACUAAAGCCAGGUUUUUUUUUUUUUCUUUCUGAUGAAGUCUAACUUUGUGCGGCCAACUUGCCUUUUACGGAAUCACAUUUAACUUUUUAAGUUAAGUUUUCUGCCUUCCUGAAAGCCACCCUCAUAUAUACUUACAUAUUAAUUUAUAAAAGGAAAAGACUUUAGGUUACACGUUAAUUCACUGUGGCAGGAGUUCCAGACUCCACACAACAAAGUCCCUGAUUCCCCCCCCCCCCCCCACGUGGAUCUGGGGAAGGAGGGACGAGAUGACGUGUAUUUCCUCUUGUUUCCCAGAAGGUCCAACCCUAUUAAAAGAAAAACCACUGAACCCUCACAUCCAUUCUAAAAACUACAAGCUAUUAGCACUCUGAAUAGGAGAGAAACCGAAUAUAGUGAUCACUCAUAUAAAGAAAUGAUUUUGAAAAUCAAAAUGAUCAAAACCAAAACCUCCAAUUCUCACUUUCCGGGAUUUGGGAAGCCUAGGUCCACGUCACCACCAUUUCCUUCUCACACAUUUGACCAAACUUAUACUCAGUAUACCUACCAGACCCAUUACCUGGACCAGGUUAAUUGCAUAGGAAGAUUUUUUUACUAUGUUUACAUCUUUCUUAAUUUUAAAAAAGCAUAGUAAAGAGUCUGAGGACAAAUUAUUCAACUGUUUAUCAUACAUAAGACCGCAUGACUAUGAUACAAAGGGGGGUUCUUUUUCAUUUAACGUUACAAUAUACACAGCAAGUCCGGACCAGAUCUUACAAUCUGCACACAGGUAUUUAACCUUUUCCAUGCUGUUUAUGUUUUACAAUGCACAGAAGUCCUGUAACCAAACCGUGUAGUAAAGCACACAAAACUGGACUGUAACAUAACACAGUAUGCAGAAGCAUUGGAUUUUAUGAUUUCCUUUAUGUAAAUAGCGGUUUAAAAACUGCUUUCGUUUUUGGUGCUUGCUAAGAUGUGGCAACCAGCACAGAAAAAAAUGACCUGACCCAUAUAAUAUCUUCCCCUUAUAGUCCUAAACAGCAGUAACUACUGAUUCCUUUUGAUAUUGCUAUACUCAAGAUGAUAUCCUUUUAUUCACUGUAAACUUUUAUGAACUACCAAGUUCAAAAAUCAUCCACAGGCUUGACAUUUAAUUACAAAAUAAAUAUGGAUUUCCUGAUUAACAACAAAAAAAUUUUGUGGAUUAUAAAAACGGUAUUUCCAAGUUUCCAUUCACAUUCACAUAGUUUUAAGCCUUUCUUUUUGUCACUGUUUACAUAUAAAAACCUGCUUUUUGUUCAGAAAAAAUUGACCUAGUCAGCCACAUGGAAUUGACCAAUAAAAAGUAAUGUGGUGUUCUGCUGAGUUGUUUUGAACAGGGUUAUCGGCAGAGGUAGAUUACUGCUUCUUUCCUAGGCUUCUUUUGAUCCUGGACAGAUAAAUUACUUAUCUUCAUUCUCCCAAUUCAACCGCUCAAAAGUAUAACACCCUAAAAUUGGUCAAUUUAAAAUGGGAACACAAAUUUAGCAACUGCCAGACUGUGUUACAUUAAGGCAGCAUAAUCUCAAAACUAGGCACCUGUUAAACACCAGCCUGUUCACUUCAGGUCACGCAUGAGAGUUUUGCUUUACUCGUGCUCAUAUUUUGGACCUGUUGGUGCAAUCAAGGUCUUGCUUUCAAGUUUACAAGUAGGUUAAUCAGGAAUACAAGAAUCGACUGCUGGUUCCAUAGCUUCUGGAUCCAGUGUCCCUUUACCUUCAGAAGCCUGAACACAUUUAGAAUGUAACAGAUGCUGUCAUCUUGAAUUAGAUGUCAAUCGAUUAUGUUCAGAACACAGAUUGCUGUAGAUGUAUUGGCUAUGGAUUCAA